GCUUGCUAUUUUUAUGAAGAGCGGCGAACGGGUGAGUAACGCGUGGGAAAUCUGCCGAGUAGCGGGGGACAACGUUUGGAAACGAACGCUAAUACCGCAUAACAAUGAGAAUCGCAUGAUUCUUAUUUAAAAGAAGCAAUUGCUUCACUACUUGAUGAUCCCGCGUUGUAUUAGCUAGUUGGUAGUGUAAAGGACUACCAAGGCGAUGAUACAUAGCCGACCUGAGAGGGUGAUCGGCCACACUGGGACUGAGACACGGCCCAGACUCCUACGGGAGGCAGCAGUAGGGAAUCUUCGGCAAUGGGGGCAACCCUGACCGAGCAACGCCGCGUGAGUGAAGAAGGUUUUCGGAUCGUAAAACUCUGUUGUUAGAGAAGAACGUUAAGUAGAGUGGAAAAUUACUUAAGUGACGGUAUCUAACCAGAAAGGGACGGCUAACUACGUGCCAGCAGCCGCGGUAAUACGUAGGUCCCAAGCGUUGUCCGGAUUUAUUGGGCGUAAAGCGAGCGCAGGUGGUUUCUUAAGUCUGAUGUAAAAGGCAGUGGCUCAACCAUUGUGUGCAUUGGAAACUGGGAGACUUGAGUGCAGGAGAGGAGAGUGGAAUUCCAUGGUA
rnacentral:rRNA from 1 species